AUUCCUACGGGAGGCAGCAGUGAGGAAUAUUGGACAAUGGACGAAAGUCUGAUCCAGCUAUGCCGCGUGCAGGAUGACAGCCCUACGGGUUGUAAACUGCUUUUAUACAGGAAGAAAAACCCCGACGUGUCGGGGCUUGACGGUACUGUAAGAAUAAGGAUCGGCUAACUCCGUGCCAGCAGCCGCGGUAAUACGGAGGAUCCAAGCGUUAUCCGGAAUUAUUGGGUUUAAAGGGUCCGCAGGCGGUUUUUUAAGUCAGAGGUGAAAUCCUACAGCUCAACUGUAGAAUUGCCUUUGAAACUGAAAGACUUGAGUUAUUGUGAAGUGGUUAGAAUGUGUGGUGUAGCGGUGAAAUGCAUAGAUAUCACACAGAAUACCAAUUGCGAAGGCAGAUCACUAACAAUUAACUGACGCUCAGGGACGAAAGCGUGGGUAGCGAACAGGAUUAGAUACCCUGGUAGUCCACGCCGUAAACGAUGGAUACUAGCUGUAUGUCUACCUCAGGUAGAUGUGUGGCCAAGCGAAAGUGAUAAGUAUCCCACCUGGGGAGUACGAUCGCAAGAUUGAAACUCAAAUGAAUUGACGGAAU
rnacentral:rRNA from 1 species